rnacentral:rRNA from 1 species
UACGUAGGGUGCAAGCGUUAAUCGGAAUUACUGGGCGUAAAGCGUGCGCAGGCGGCUUUGCGAGACAGAUGUGAAAUCCCCGGGCUUAACCUGGGAACUGCAUUUGUGACUGCAUGGCUAGAGUGCGGCAGAGGGGGAUGGAAUUCCGCGUGUAGCAGUGAAAUGCGUAGAUAUGCGGAGGAACACCGAUGGCGAAGGCAAUCCCCUGGGCCUGCACUGACGCUCAUGCACGAAAGCGUGGGGAGCAAACAGG